UACGUAGGGGGCAAGCGUUGUCCGGAUUUACUGGGCGUAAAGAGCGUGUAGGCGGCCAAGCAGGUCCGUUGUGAAAACUGGAGGCUUAACCUCCAGACGUCGACGGAAACCGCGCGGCUAGAGUCCGGAAGAGGAGAGUGGAAUUCCCGGUGUAGCGGUGAAAUGCGUAGAGCUCGGGAAGAACAUCGGUGGCGAAAGCGCUCUGCUGGACUGCAACUGACACUCAGGGAACGAAAGGCUAGGGGAGCGAAUGGG
rnacentral:rRNA from 1 species